AUCUUUGGUGUGUAACCGCAAUUUUCCCACCUGUGUGAUUACCUGUCCCCUCCCUAAUGUGUUGCACCUGUGUCUCAUUGUCCGCCUGUCGUGUGUAUUUAAGUUCAGCCUUCCCCUUACCCUAGUGUGCCAUUGUCUGCUUCUCUGUGUUCAGCUUUAAAGUGUUUUUCCCCUGUGUCCUGUUAUUUUGAGUUCUGUUGUUUCCCUGGAUUUUUGACCAUUGCCUGCAUGUUUGGAUUU